UACGGAGGGUGCAAGCGUUAAUCGGAAUUACUGGGCGUAAAGCGCACGCAGGUGGCUGAGUCAGUCGAUUGUGAAAGCCCUGGGCUUAACCUGGGAAUUGCAGUCGAUACUACUUAGCUCGAGUAUGGGAGAGGGCAGUGGAAUUCCUGGUGUAGCGGUGAAAUGCGCAGAUAUCAGGAGGAACACCGAUGGCGAAGGCAGGUCUCUGGGCCGAUACUGACGCUGAGGAGCGAAAGCGUGGGGAGCGAACAGG
rnacentral:rRNA from 1 species